UACGUAGGGUGCGAGCGUUACUCGGAAUUACUGGGCGUAAAGUGUGCGCAGGCGGCAAAGCAAGUCGAGUGUGAAAGCCCCGGGCUCAACCUGGGAACCGCGCUUGAGACUGGCACGCUCGAGUUCGGGAGAGGAUGGUGGAAUUCCCAGUGUAGAGGUGAAAUUCGUAGAUAUUGGGAAGAACACCGAUGGCGAAGGCAGCCAUCUGGACCGACACUGACGCUGAGGCGCGAAAGCGUGGGGAGCAAACAGG
rnacentral:rRNA from 1 species